rnacentral:lncRNA from 1 species
CUUCACUCAAUGACCAAUAACUAUAGAGCUUUAUUAAAAAAUUACAUAGCCAAAAUAGAAGGGUCUAAACUUUUCCUAAGAGCUGUAUCUGUUGGUCUAGAUCAAAGGUGUCAAACUCAAAGACUAACAUGGGCCAAAAUAAAAAGGUUUGAGUUUAGGUGGGCCACAAAAAACUUCAAUAUUCAUACAAACGUUGGUUUAUUUCGAAAAGUACAGAAAUAAAAAAGGACAAGGACAAUUUAAUGUUUUCUUCCUGACACUUGGGCAUCACUUCUGUUAUCUUUCCUACUUCGGGGAGAUAUUGCUUGCAAUGAUUACUUUCAAAACUGACCUAAGGUGAGCGUC